rnacentral:rRNA from 1 species
GACGAACGCUGGCGGCGUGCUUAACACAUGCAAGUCGAACGGAAAGGCCCUGCUUUUGUGGGGUGCUCGAGUGGCGAACGGGUGAGUAACACGUGAGUAACCUGCCCUUGACUUUGGGAUAACUUCAGGAAACUGGGGCUAAUACCGGAUAGGAGCUCCUGCUGCAUGGUGGGGGUUGGAAAGUUUCGGCGGUUGGGGAUGGACUCGCGGCUUAUCAGCUUGUUGGUGGGGUAGUGGCUUACCAAGGCUUUGACGGGUAGCCGGCCUGAGAGGGUGACCGGCCACAUUGGGACUGGGAUACGGCCCAGACUCAUACGGGAGGCAGCAGUGGGGAAUAUUGCACAAUGGGCGGAAGCCUGAUGCAGCAACGCCGCGUGCGGGAUGACGGCCUUCGGGUUGUAAACCGCUUUCGCCUGUGACGAAGCGUGAGUGACGGUAAUGGGUAAAGAAGCACGGGCGAACUACGU